rnacentral:rRNA from 1 species
UUAAACGCUAAGGGCAAAUGGUGGAUGCCUAGACAUCAAAAGACGAUGAAGGACGUAGCAGCCUGCGAAAAGUUUCGGGGAGGUGGCAAGCAACCUUUGAUCCGGAAAUUUCCGAAUGGGGAAACCCGGCGCGGUAAACCCGCGUCAUUUGCAACUGAAUACAUAGGUUGCAAAAGACAACCCGGUGAAGUGAAACAUCUCAGUAACCGGAGGAAAAGAAAAAAUUGAAUCUUUAGAUCUUUGCUUCUUGAUUGAGGCAGAGAUCUAUAGAUUGCAUUCCGCGAGUAGUGGCGAGCGAAAGCGGAGCAGCCCAAACCUUAGAUAGUGUUGUUGGUGUGAAAGUCAGCCUUCGGGUUGAUCGUAGCAUCGGCAUAAAGGAGCGCCCGUUGCUUCUAAGGGGUGAUGAUUACAGCGUUCGGCCUGCGCUAAAGCCGAGCGGAACAAAAUUCUUAGUGGAACAGUUUUGGAAAAGCUGACCAGACAGGGUGAAAGUCCCGUACACGAAAAGAAUCGUACUUCCGUUGCUUUAAUCUAAAGUACUACAGGACUCGAGAAAUCUUGUAGGAAUCCGCCAUGACUAUAUGGCAAGGCUAAAUACUUUUGAUGAUCGAUAGUGAACCAGUACCGUGAGGGAAAGGUGAAAAGCAGCCCGGUGAGGGCGAUGAAAUAGUAUCUGAAACCAUUUGCUUACAAACGAGUCGGAGUCCAAGAGCGCAGCAAUGCGAGUUCUGGAUGACGGCGUUCCUAUUGAAGAAUGAGCCAACGAGUUUAUCUUUGUUGCUUUGCUUAACCCCUUCGGGGGGAAGGCGCAGUGAAAGCGAGGAUUAAUAGUCCGCCUACUGUAGCAAGGAUAAGACCCGAAACAGGGUGAUCUAUCCAUGACCAGGGUGAACCAAAUGUAACAGUUUGGGGAGGCCCGAACUCACAUGCCGUGCAACACAUGGAGAUGAGUUGUGGAUAGCGGAGAAAUUCCAAUCGAACUCUGUGAUAGCUGGUUCUCCUCGAAAUAUCUUUUGGGGUAGCUUCGAGAUUAGACUCAGGGGUAGAGCACUGAAUGAGAACGGGCCUGCAAAGGUACCUUUUUCAAUCAAACUCCGAAUACUGAGUAUCCUUAUCUCGGAAGUCAGUCUAUGGGCGCUAAGGUCCAUCAGACAAAAGGGAAACAGCCCAGAUCGCCAAUUAAGGUCCCUAAAUCUAUGUUAAGUGUGAAAGGUGGUAUCAAGACUACGACAACCAGGAGGUUGGCUUAGAAGCAGCCAUCCUUUAAAGAUAGCGUAAUAGCUCACUGGUCAAGUUUUCUUGCGCCGAAAAUGUAUCGGGGCUAAACAUAGUACCGAAAUUGCGAAUUCUACACUUCGGUGUAGAGUGGUAGAGGAGUGUUCCCAACAGGAUGAAGCCGUAGCCGCGAGGCGCGGUGGACAGUUGGGAAGUAAGAAUGUUGGCAUAAGUAGCAAGAAUCUAGAUGAAAAUUCUAGACACCGUAAAUCCGAGGUUUCCUGGGCAACGAGAAUCGACCCAGGGUUAGUCGGUCCUAAGGCGAGGCCCAAGGGCGUAGUCGAUGGAAGAGCAGGUUAAUAUUCCUGCACUGCUUUAAUUUUCCGAGGGAGUGACGCAUCACCGGAGUCUAGCCGUCCUAUGGCUAUGACGGUGGCGGUUGUAGAUGUGGCUGACAGGCAAAUCCGUUAGCCGUUAAGCAUCGAAGCCGUCAAGAGAGAAAGCUGCAAAGCGGACUCAAUAUUGGCAAAGGUGGUGCCCAGAAAAACUUCUAGGGCUAAGGUUAAAGCAUCCGUACUUAAACCGACACAGGUGGAUGAGGCGAGUAGCCUCAGGUGUACGAGAGAAACUUCGCUAAGGAACUCGGCAAAAAAGCGGCCGUAACUUAGGGAUAAGGCCUCCCCAACUAGAUUGGGGCGCAGUUAAAAAUAUCAAGCGACUGUUUAUCAAAAACUUAGGUCCCUGCUAAAGCGCAAGCUGAUGUAUAGGGGCUGAUGCCUGGCCAGUGUCUGAACGUUAAGGGGAGAAGUCAUCCGGUUUACCGGGGCAGCUUUGAACUGAAGCGCAGAUGAACGCCGGCGAUAACUAUAAUCGUCCUAAGGUUUUGCGAUUAUUAAUAAUGAUCGCAAAAGGACUGGGACGAUUAUAUAGAAUUCGUUGCCUCCUUUUACAGUAAUGUAAAAAUGGUCCUAAAACACUUAGCCAUAUGCUGGGAUAACCGAAAAAAAUAUGGUAUAAUUAUACCAUAUAAUUUCAUAUUAAAAAUAUGACGGUCAAUCAGCAGGAAAGACUAAAAUUUGAGCACUGGUUAGUCGGUUUCACUGAUGGUGAAGGCUGUUUUUCAGUCAGUAUCAUCAAAAAUAAAACGACUAAGUCAGGUUGGCAAAUUUUUCCGGAAUUCGUCAUCACGCAAGGCGAAAGAAGUUUACCGGCACUUAGGAAGAUUGAAAAAUACUUCAAGUGCGGGAAAAUUUAUAUC